rnacentral:rRNA from 1 species
UACGGAGGGAGCUAGCGUUGUUCGGAAUUACUGGGCGUAAAGCGCGCGUAGGCGGUUUUUUAAGUCAGAGGUGAGAGCCCAGUGCUCAACACUGGAACUGCCUUUGAAACUGGAAAACUUGAAUCUUGGAGAGGUCAGUGGAAUUCCGAGUGUAGAGGUGAAAUUCGUAGAUAUUCGGAAGAACACCAGUGGCGAAGGCGACUGACUGGACAAGUAUUGACGCUGAGGUGCGAAAGCGUGGGGAGCGAACAGG